rnacentral:rRNA from 1 species
GACAGAGGCCUCAAGCGUUAGGCGGAAUCACUGGGCUUAAAGCGUGUGUAGGCGGAUCGUUAAGUGUCUUGUGAAAUCCCACGGCUCACCCGUGGAACUGCUGGGCAUACUGGCGAUCUUGGGCCAACUAGGGGCAACUGGAACAAGCGGUGGAGCGGUGAAAUGCGUAGAUAUCGCUUGGAACGCCGAAGGUGAAAACAGACUGCUGGGGUUGUGCCGACGCGUGAGACACGGAAAGCCAGGGGAGCAAACGGG